UCAGUUUUGAGUUUCAGCACUUCAGCGCAGCCGAGUAGCCGACACCACCAUCGCGAAACAGUCUCCUCCUUCGUCGCCGGUUCACCCACCGCCGUCGGCCCAGCCUUCAACCACCGCCGUCGGCCCAGCCUUCACCCACCGCCGUCAGCCCAGCCUUCGCCCAACCGUUUCCCACUCCGGCGAAGUAGCAAUAGACGAAGACGACCGGCAUCUAACAUGCGAGACUCCCCUCCGGUACAUCAGCGGCGACGUUAGGUAGCUGGAGUUCGGCUGACGGCGAUUCCGAUCUCCAUCUUCGGUGGUUAAGAAGCAGCAGGCUCUGGACAAGAAAUAAGUUGUAGAGAAGAUUGCAAAAUCAGGAUUUCAGCUUUGCUUGGAUGUUACUGCAACCAAACCUAAAAACUCUACUGAUGAUUACAGAAAUGAAGAGGAUGAGGAUGAUGAAGAGGAGCUUGAUGCUAUAUUGCUAUUAUUGUGUAUUGAGAGUUACAGUGUGCAAAAAAAUAAAUUUAAAUAUUGUUGUUUUGUUUUGCUCA